GACGAACGCUGGCGGCGUGCUUAACACAUGCAAGUCGAACGGAAGGGCCCUGCUUUUGUGGGGUGCUCGAGUGGCGAACGGGUGAGUAACACGUGAGUAACCUGCCCUUGACUUUGGGAUAACUUCAGGAAACUGGGGCUAAUACCGGAUAGGAGCUCCUGCUGCAUGGUGGGGGUUGGAAAGUUUCGGCGGUUGGGGAUGGACUCGCGGCUUAUCAGCUUGUUGGUGGGGUAGUGGCUUACCAAGGCUUUGACGGGUAGCCGGCCUGAGAGGGUGACCGGCCACAUUGGGACUGAGAUACGGCCCAGACUCCUACGGGAGGCAGCAGUGGGGAAUAUUGCACAAUGGGCGGAGGCCUGAUGCAGCAACGCCGCGUGCGGGAUGACGGCCUUCGGGUUGUAAACCGCUUUCGCCUGUGACGAAGCGUGAGUGACGGUAAUGGGUAAAGAAGCACCGGCUAACUACGUG
rnacentral:rRNA from 1 species